rnacentral:ribozyme from 1 species
GGAAAGAGUGCGGGGUUAAUGCGUUAGGAAAAUAAUUGAGUGAUUCUGGUGGCGCAUGCGACCAGCGACCACGG